UACGAUGGGACGUUCGAACGAAGAAAUGUCGGAUCGAUUUUGCGCAUAAUUUUAUUGUUUCGUUAUCAAACGCGGUGCGCGGGUGCACCGUAUUCACAAUCGCAUUCACAAUCCUUUGGCUUGCAGACAUACAGCGUUACAGCUUCGAUAAAGUUUAAUACCGUUUUGUUCUUUUCUUUUCUCUUUAUUUAUUUAUUUAUUUAUUUAUUUUUUUUUUUGUUCGUUUCUUAUUACUCUGCAUCUUUCUUGUUCCUGAAACUAUGUCUGAGAUAUGUCGAAGGCAGGUACAGGAGAUACGUCGAUGAACACUAAAUAGGUACGAUAUAAACGCGCUACGUACGAUUCCUCGCGGAGUAUCGACGCGAAAAAAGAUCUCGAACCGGAUCUCUCCUCCGACUCUAUCGACUCGAUUCGUCGUACCGCGGUCAUCGAUUACAUCGCUUGCGUUGUACGAGAUGUAAAAUAAUAUUAAAACGUGUGUAUGUAUCUGUGUGUGUGUGUACGUGUGUGUGUGUAUA